UGGUGUGCUUGCAGGCUUUGAAGAACAAGCUGCCAUGAAUCCUGCAGCUACAAGGAAAUGAACUCUAUUAACUUGAGUGAGCUUAAAACUAGAUCCUUCCCCAGUCAAGCCUCCAGGUGAGAAUUCAAUCCUGGCUGGCACCUGGAUUGCAGCUUACAGAAGACCCAGCUAAGGCCAUGUCUGGACUUUAAAUCCACAGGAACUGCAAGAUGGUAUCAGAAGUGGGACCUGCAGUGGGGCAUCUAGCAACCCCCAGGAGCAUUGAGUGACCAGGCUUGGGACCCACCGGGCGCAGGGUGUCCAUUGUUCUCUCGAAGCAACUGAGAAUUGUGGAUAUUCUUCAUUAUUCCAUCAUCAUCUCAAACCUCUUGGGUAUAGUGUUUGACUACUACUGUGACCAUAAAUUCCAAUAAAACCUAGGAAAAAUGAAACCACUACAUUAACUGAAAGGGAAGGAUUUGACAGCUUCUUUUGGGCAUAUCAGAAUCGCCAGCAUCACUACUCUUGCACUGUGCGGCCAUUAUUAAGUGAAAUAAGGAUUACUUGAACACAAGCACUGCAAUGCCGCUACAGUCAAUGUGAUAACCCAGCUGGUGACUAAGUGACCAAGGACGGGGAGUAUCUACAGCGGGGAGACUCUGGAAAAAGGGAGGAUUCACAUCCAGUGCCACUGGGGCAGGGCAGAAUGAGAGUUCAUCAUGCUACAAAGAAUGGCACAGAAUAUACGACUUGUGAGUGGAUUAUCUCUGGAAUUUUCUGUUGACUACAUUUGUACUACAGUUGUAUGUGGGUAACAAACUGUGGAAAGUGAAACUUCGGGUAAGGGGGAGGCUACCGUAGAUAGCCCAGUAUUUCUUAUUUUGUGGAUUUGUUUAUCUUUCUGCUCACAUCCUUUUCCUUCUGCAUUACCAUUUUAGUAAAAAUAGAUAGCAUCCAUUUGGUGUUUAGUAUGUUUUUGGCACAGUCGAACAUUUUACAAACAUUAUAUCAUUUAAUCUGCAUAAAACCUAUACAGUAGGUACAACUAUUAUCCAGUUUUUUAGACAAGGCAAACUGGAUCACAGGGAGUUCAAAACGCC
rnacentral:lncRNA from 1 species